GCGCCUGGGGCUCGCGGGCUGGGCCGAGAGUCGGGGGUCCCCGAGCCUCGGGGCCGAGCCUAAGGCGCGCCCGGCCGCACGGGUCCCUCCGCCGCGCCGCGCUCCGGGGUGCCGGGGUGUGCCCCGGUACUCGGGGUCCGCGCCGCCGCCGCCGCCGCCGGGGCUGCUGCUGCUGGUGCUGCCAACGGCGACCCGGGCUCGUCGCGGUCCCCGCCGCACAGGCUUCCCUGGUGGCGCAGUGGUUGAGAGUCCGCCGGCCGAUGCGGGGGACGCGGGUUCGUGCCCCGGUCCGGGAGGAUCCCACGUGCCGCGGAGCGGCUGGGCCCGUGAGCCGUGGCCGCUGAGCCUGCGCGUCCGGAGCCUGCGCUCCGCCACGGGAGAGGCCACAACAGUGAGAGGCCCGCGUACCGCAAAAACCAAAAAAUUCUGUUUGCAAUUAGAAGAAAGAAAGAGGAUACAUGAGAGCAAGUAAAAGGUGAUCCUGAGCCAUCAAAGACCUUCCACCUGGUCUCACAGGAACAUGUCCAUGGCUCAUCUGUCCGCAUUCCAUGUUCAGUUAGAGUAACAACCCCAUUUUUAAUGGUAUUGAAGUUCCUGUCAUUCAUUUCAAAAUGUUUCCUAACUGUAAUUAAGCUGUUUGCUACUGUGUCUCACUGCUGUUUUCCACUGGUUCUUUUUCUUUUUUUUCCCUUUAAAUUCUUAAGCAAGUUCACUUUACUCUCAUCUCAGUGCUGUUUGCAAUCUCCAGCUAAUCGCAUAGGAGGGGAAAACCCGUGUUGUCUUCCCAAGUUUGCUUUCUGGAUGCUGUUCCCAGUCGUGAUUGGACUACAAUUUCAAACAUAACCAUGCAUAAUUAAAACAUUUUAGUGAUAAUAACAAA